AAAUCGGCAGCUGGCAGCAGGAAGUGGUUGCCAUUGACAGCCGGAAGGCAGUAACUGACAGCCGGAAGGCAGUAACUGUCAGCCGGAUGGUAGGCGGGACCUGCCAUUCGGUGGGAGCCAAUCAGUAUCGACCAACGUGGGCGCAACCAAUCAGAUAUAACUGCACCCAAACGCUUCAGUAAUGGUUGCGAUUGAUCAAACGUUGCCAGAUGCUGUCCUGUUGGAAAUUCUUCUUUACGUGAUCCUGGAGGAGGGGUGAUGCUACAUUACUAAGUCCGUCUUUGGUUUGUUCCAAAUUCAGAAGUCUGCUGUACUGUAUACAGACUCCUUUCGAAAGAGGGCACAAUCCAGCUGGCUUGACUGAGUAUUUUCUUUUACAUAUUUGAUUAGAGGUUUAAAAAGGUGCCAUAACAUUACAUUUCUCAGUUGCCAUGUCUGAAUGUUUAUCUUUGUAAUAAUGCUGUUUUCAUGCUCCUCAUCUCAAUAUACAGGUGGAACAAAAUGGAGAACAAGUCUAAGCCAUGUUAGGAAUUCAACAAAAUGUACACCCUGCAGACACUGCGACGAGGUUUACAACAACUGCUUACCAGGUCACUGCAGUCACCCGGAUCCAGUACGUAUCCAGACCAGAUGGUGGAUCGCACCUAGAAAGGACCUCUACAGCCCUGAAAGACAGCGGAGACCAGGACAACUAGAGCCCCAGAUACAGAUCCCCUGUAAAGACCUUGUUUUUUCUCCAUUUUGUCACCGGUGGAGUUUUGGUUCCUUGUCGCCUCUGGCUUGCUCCGUUGUGGUCACUUCAUUUACAGUGAUAUCAUUGACAUGAUUCCACAGAUACUAUUUAAACUGAACCGAGCUCAAGGAUGACAUCACUGAACUGAAUGAUAAACUGCCUUUUAAACUGACUACAAACUGAGUUUACUAAUGUCCUUCUGCAUUUUUGACUGACACACUAUUUUCC